rnacentral:rRNA from 1 species
GUGUCAGCAGCCGCGGUAAUACAGAGGUCCCGAGCGUUGUUCGGAUUUACUGGGCGUAAAGGGUGCGUAGGUGGUUGGGCAAGUCUGAUGUGAAAGCCCCGGGCCCAACCCGGGAACGGCAUUAGAAACUGCCUGGCUGGAGGUUUGGAGGGGGGACUGGAAUUCCCGGUGUAGCAGUGAAAUGCGUAGAUAUCGGGAGGAACGCCAGUGGCGAAGGCGAGUCCCUGGACAACACCUGACACUGAGGCACGAAAGCCAGGGGAGCAAACAGGAUUAGAAACCCCCGUAGUCC